rnacentral:rRNA from 1 species
GACGAACGCUGGCGGCGUGCUUAACACAUGCAAGUCGAACGGUAAGGCCCUUCGGGGUACACGAGUGGCGAACGGGUGAGUAACACGUGGGUGAUCUGCCCUGCACUUCGGGAUAAGCCUGGGAAACUGGGUCUAAUACCGGAUAGGACCCUGGGAUGCAUGUCCUGGGGUGGAAAGCUUUUGCGGUGUGGGAUGGGCCCGCGGCCUAUCAGCUUGUUGGUGGGGUGAUGGCCUACCAAGGCGACGACGGGUAGCCGGCCUGAGAGGGUGACCGGCCACACGGGGACUGAGAUACGGCCCAGACUCCUACUGGAGGCAGCAGUGGGGAAUAUUGCACAGUGGGCGCAAGCCUGAUGCAGCGACGCCGCGUGAGGGAUGACGGCCUUCGGGUUGUAAACCUCUUUCAGCACCGACGAAGCGCAAGUGACGGUAGGUGCAGAAGAAGGACCGGCCAACUACGUGCCAGCCGCCGCCGUAA